rnacentral:rRNA from 1 species
UACGGGGGGGGCAAGCGUUGUUCGGAAUUACUGGGCGUAAAGGGCUUGUAGGCGGCCAACUAAGUCCGACGUGAAAUCCCCAGGCUUAACCUGGGAACUGCGUCGGAUACUGGAUGGCUUGAAUUCGGGAGAGGGAUGCAGAAUUCCAGGUGUAGCGGUGAAAUGCGUAGAUAUCUGGAGGAACACCGGUGGCGAAGGCGGCAUCCUGGACCGGUAUUGACACUGAGGCGCGAAAGCCAGGGGAGCAAACGGG